rnacentral:lncRNA from 1 species
AUGGAGUGGUUGGUGUACUGCAUUGUUUUAGCCAUUGGAUUUCACUCAAAUCCCCCAAAAUGACUCCUCCCACAAUAUUAUGAUGUUUCCCCAGUUUUGGACUCAAUCCCAUAUCGAUUGGUCCAUGAAAUCGGACAGUUCAGGUUCGUAAAAAGUUCGUUAUGAAAUGGAGUGGUUGGUGUAUUGCAUAGUUUUAGCAAUUGGAUUUCAUUCAAAACUCACCAAAUGACUCCUCCCACCAUAUUAUGAUGUUGACCAAGUUUCGGGCUCAAUGAAAAGCUCAUAAUUUC